UGCCAGGGACAGCAGCCUCAAGUCUGGCCUAA
rnacentral:piRNA from 1 species